AUUUCAAGAACAAAACUUAUUGCUGGAUGCAGCCCAUGCCAGUAUCACAAAUGAACUACAGACUGUUCAGAAUGAGAAAACCCAACUCCAAGCACAUCUGGAUCAUUUAAUCCUUGAGCAUAACCAGUGUAUCCAGAAAGCACAGGAUGCUGAAAAGAGAACAGCUGUGCAAAAAGAGCUGCUAGAAUCAACUAUUGCAAGAUUGCGAGGUGAAUUGGAAGCAUCAAUGCAAGAGAAGAAGUCUCUGCUAGAGGAGAAAGAAAGAUUUCAGAGGGAGGGCUAUUUGUGAAGUCUGCUCUGCCUCAGAGACUCCCUGAUUGACCCCUUUUCUGAGAGGAUGUGCUAUCUCUGCAGUCUUAAUAAAACAGAAAAAGAAAUAGUGCAAGAAAGAUGCAAUUUGGAAAAGGAAUUAGCUAAAAACAAGGUAGACAUAAAUACAUUAACUCAUA
rnacentral:sRNA from 1 species